GAGCCAGUACAAUUUGCUCAGCAGGUGGCAAACGAGGCUGGGAACUGGAAGUAUUCUACAGAAAUUCAAUGUAUUACUACUUGUAAGCUGUUAAACGAGGCCGUAGCACUUAACUUCUGCAACAGCCGAUUUAUAAUGAAUACUCCUAAGCUGCAGAACCAGCCUCAAAGGCACUAUGGAAUGACUUCUCCAGUUAGCUUGGCUCCUCCUAAGGAUAUAGAUUGCAUUCAUACUCAGAAGCUGGUUGAAGUCAUGAAAGCAUGUGGGGUGUCUGAAGAUGAGGAAGAACUGAAUCACAGGUAUAACAAGGCUGUAAAAUUUGUUAAUCUUCUGGGUGUUUUUUAGGGCAAACUUAUACAAAUAUUCAAACGAGAGCUUUGAAGGCCGAAGUGGAGCAGGGCUAUAUGCAAACAGCAGUUGAACAUGGGUCAGUCGGUCCUAAGCGAUAGGCGAGUGCCGUUCCGAAAGGGCGGGCGAUGGCCUCCAUUGCCCUCAGCCGAUUGAAAGGGAGUCGGGUUCAGAUCCCCGAAUCCGGAGUGGCAGAGACGGGUGCCACGAGGUGCCCAGUGCGGUGACGCAACCGAUCUCGGAGAAGCCGGCGGGAGCCCCGGGGAGAGUUCUCUUUUCUUUGUGAAGGGCCGGGCGCCCUGGAAUGGGUUCACCCCGAGAGAGGGGCCCGCGCCUUGGAAAGCGUCGCAGUUGUGGUGGCAUCCAGUGAGCUCUUGCUGGCCCAUGAAAAUCCGGGGAAGAGGGCGUAAGUCUCGCGCCGGGCCGUACCCAUAUCCGCACCAGGUCUCCAAGGUGAACAGCCUCUGGCAUGCUGGAACAAUGUAGGUAAGGGAAGUCGGCAAGCUGGAUCCGUAACUUCGGUAUAAGGAUUGGCUCUAAGGGCUGGGUCGGUCAGGCUGGGGCGCGAAGCAGGGCUGGGCCCGUGCCGCGGCUGGACGAGGCGCCGUGCGCCGCCCGCUCAGGCGCACGUGCGGCAGCGACUCUGGACGCGCGCCGGGCCCUUCCUGUGGAUCGCCCCAGCUGCGGCGGGCGCCGCCCGCGCCCCCCUCCACCCACCGCCACUCCCGCCCGGCGCCCCAGGGGCGGCUGCUGCUGUUGCCACACACUGCUGCCCCUGGCCCUUUCGGUCCGCAACCAGCGGUGGGGGGGCUAAAGGGUUCCCGCGGCGCGCACGCACACACGUGUGCGGCCGUGGCCGGCGUCGGCGCGUGGUUCCGCGGGGGAGGGUCCCCGGGCUGGUGCCCCGCCUCAGCCGGCGCCUAGCAGCCGGCUUAGAACUGGUGCGGACCAGGGGAAUCCAACUGUUUAAUUAAAAAAAAGCAUCGCGAAGGCCCACGGCGGGUGUUGAUGCGAUGUGAUUUCUGCCCCAGUGCUCUGAAUGUCAAAGUGAAGAAAUUCAAUGAAGCGCGGGUAAACGGCGGGAG